GACGAACGCUGGCGGCGUGCCUAAUACAUGCAAGUCGAACGCUUCUUUCCUCCCGAGUGCUUGCACUCAAUUGGAAAGAGGAGUGGCGGACGGGUGAGUAACACGUGGGUAACCUACCCAUCAGAGGGGGAUAACACUUGGAAACAGGUGCUAAUACCGCAUAACAGUUUAUGCCGCAUGGCAUAAGAGUGAAAGGCGCUUUCGGGUGUCGCUGAUGGAUGGACCCGCGGUGCAUUAGCUAGUUGGUGAGGUAACGGCUCACCAAGGCCACGAUGCAUAGCCGACCUGAGAGGGUGAUCGGCCACACUGGGACUGAGACACGGCCCAGACUCCUACGGGAGGCAGCAGUAGGGAAUCUUCGGCAAUGGACGAAAGUCUGACCGAGCAACGCCGCGUGAGUGAAGAAGGUUUUCGGAUCGUAAAACGCUGUUGUUAGAGAAGAACAAGGACGUUAGUAACUGAACGUCCCCUGACGGUAUCUAACCAGAAAGCCACGGCUAACUACGU
rnacentral:rRNA from 1 species